AUGGGCUCUUCUGAGAUGGACGACGAUUUUUAUGGUCACAGCUCAAGAAACUCAUCAAAAUUAUCUCUGUAUGAUAGGAAAAGUUUAAAUCAAGAUUCAGAUACCGGUGUGGAUUUAAAUGAAAGCGUGACAUCAAACCAGUUAAGCCACAGUGCUGCACGACACAAAAUGGCAAUCAAACCAAAACGAACUCAUGGCGCACCGCGAAGAAACAAGCCGUUGACGGUCGGAUCCAUUCUUCCCUCAACCCCAGAAUUAAAUGAAGAUAUUAGCAGUCGAAGCCUUUCGUCACAAGCAAGUGACUCAGGUAUAUAUCCAGCUUAUGAUUCAUCGCAUUUUGAACCAUCAGCUCACGAUUCUGACCAGCGGAAUUUUGCUGAAUCCUUCGAACCGCCUACCCAGAGGCUAAUCAACUCCAAUAUUGGGAGUGUCAGAAGCUAUGUCCAGAUGCUGAACUACAAAAACAAGGCGGACAAAAAAACUUUUUACGACACCCAUCAUUUCAAUAAAAUGAUUUUGAGCAAACUCCCGAAUUACAGUCAAGAAGAGGUCAACAAGUCUACUCUCGAACUGAAAAAAAUAAUCUCCAAGUUUGAAAAGAUCAGCAAUAAGCCAAAAGGUUUUGUGCCACUGAAAAACUCACAGUCUGAAAUAAACUUGUCCAAAAACUCUGACAAAGACUUCCAUAAACAUAUCGAUAGUUUUGAUUUGAGGAGGAGAGUUGUGAAUGAGUUUUCAGAGAUUUAUUUAAAUCAAAAUCAGUCAUUGCUGAAACACAAAUCUUACUCCGAUAUUCCGCAAGUAGUUUAUAACUUCACAAACAAAUCCCCAACUGUUGGUUCCUUACGAGUUCCAACUAAAGACCGAGCUAAUCCUCUUAAAGCCAUGACAUUCGAAAAAAGUAAUUUUGAUAUGAGACCAAAUAAUUACUCACAUUCAAACAGAAAAAAGUCGAAAGUUGUGGACAGUGUGUUUGUUCAAGGAGAUAGGAAUACUGAUGCUGAGUUUAGGCUGCGACCUCUACCUUUCCCUGAUUAUUCUGAUCUGCAUAAGCUGGAAAGGUAUCAGUUUAAGAUUAUGAAUAAAGCUAAUGGCUCUGUCAAAUUAGAGAUGAAUUCUCCAGAUGCUGAGCAAAUGAAACUGAUCAGGAGGAAUGGUGGAAUCAGGUACUGAAAUGAUGAGCACCGAUAGUUAUGGAGACCAUGACCGGUCAUGAUCAAAUGUAGGAGCUUCUUUCGGUUAAGAAUUCUGUCCAAGAGUAUGCUACAAUGGCCAUCUUAAAAACUUAUGAACAAAAUUAGGAGCAUAGAAAAAAAAACAGGACGUUUCAACGCAAUUGCGUUGGAGGGCGCUUCUCUCAGUGGCAGAAGGAAGUAAUAUAGUUGCCCAUACUUUUUCAGUCAAAUAAAUCAUAUAAGAAAACCAUAAAAAAAAUUCUUCCAGGCGAGGAAUCAAACCUCGACCUCUGGAGUUCAAGCCAGACGCGGAGGCUUUCAGCCUUGUUAGAGGCGCUAUUAUGACGAGAGAAACUGCAAUAUUUAACUAGAUAAUUGACUCAUAACUCAGUGAAUGAGGCGGCGUGUUCAGAAAUUGCGUAACCUCAUCGUCCAUAUGCUUCACAGCUGUUUCUAAGCUCCACCUUAGCAUAAUUUCAAUGAGAUUGGCCUUGAGGCAAAUUAAUAUGUGAAUUCUCAUGAAUUAAAUCAAUCAAUUGUUCAAUAUUAACGUCCGAUUCUGGCUUUCAUAGACGUAAUAGGUCCUCGAGUUUGGUUAGUCAAACUAUCUCUAACACAAGGUACUCUGAGUGUAAGAUUCAUGUAUUUUUAUCCAGCAGAGGCAAGUUGUUUAAAACAUGGGAAUGAUUUUUUAUUUAAAAAAAAUCAUUUUUAAGGACAAGCUAGGAUAUACUGCGUUUCCCAUAUUGUUAGAGUCCUCUUCUUGCGUUUUUCUCACAUGCGCUGUACUACUUCAGUAUGUAUGCUUUAUGUACGACAGACUAGGAAUAAGCAUCUAAAUCUUCAAACAGGAGUAUAGGACCCACCAUAAAGAUCUCACUUACUAUAUGUGGGUGAGCAGCUCUAUGUGACUCCUGAAUUAGAGUCUUGUUGGUACAUUUUAUACAUUAUUAAUUAUUAUGGAAGAACGACUUCAGGUUCUGACACUCUCGCUCCCAUUCUUUGCUUGUCACUGUAUGUAUUGCAAUUUUAGAUCAGCUUUUUUCAUCCGUGAAUAUGCGAGAAUCCCAGACGGAGAGUUCAUUUGAGUAGAAGUGUAUCUCACCAAAGUUUGAAUUGAAUGCCAUGCCUUUUACUCUUUUUUGUAAGCCUGAAUUUGAGUAGAAACUGCCGGCUUGAUUCAAAUUAAGUCUAAAAUUACUCGCUGAAUUACUCUUUUGCACUUACAAAACCAUUAAAAAUUUGCGAUUUGGAGGUAUAUGAGCAGAAAUGGAAAUGUAAAUUGCUUUUUAGAGUGAGAAACUUUUGCAAAGGCUAACGUGUAGAGUUUAUCCAUACAACUCUCAUUCUAAGUCACAAACAGUGUGCAGGGUUGCUUACUCCUCUCGUCCAAACAAAUCGAAUAAUUCACAAGGAUCAGUGAAUCAGCAAUGCAUGAAACACCUUACUUAUUCUUGCUUUUUUAUCUCUAUGCUCUAUCUUUCUUGAAGUGAGUUUUUUUGCACUCAUCACGUUUUUUUGUUUGGUUUCAGUGAGCACCACUGCACAUGCCAAUCCCACCGAACCCUCAAACGACACUCGAAUAAAGUCAGCAUCCCUGCCCUCAGGAUUAUCUCCAGUCAGUUCUCGCAUCAAGCUAACGCGCAGUCGCUCUAAUGCAGCAUAUCUCAGUAGCAGCGAUAUUUUCGAGGAGGAUGAGGACUCUCAGCCGCAGAAGAAGGACGAUUCUAACUCAUUCUUUGGUCGUCUCCUGUCACGUCGUAGUGGUAAGAAGAAGA
rnacentral:lncRNA from 1 species